rnacentral:rRNA from 1 species
GACGAACGCUGGCGGCGUGCUUAACACAUGCAAGUCGAACGGAAAGGCCCUGCUUUUGUGGGGUGCUCGAGUGGCGAACGGGUGAGUAACACGUGAGUAACCUGCCCUUGACUUUGGGAUAACUUCAGGAAACUGGGGCUAAUACCGGAUAGGAGCUCCUGCUGCAUGGUGGGGGUUGGAAAGUUUCGGCGGUUGGGGAUGGACUCGCGGCUUAUCAGCUUGUUGGUGGGGUAGUGGCUUACCAAGGCUUUGACGGGUAGCCGGCCUGAGAGGGUGACCGGCGUCAUUGGGGCUGAGAUACGGACCUGACUGCGACAGGAGGCAGCAGUGGGGAAUAGUGCACGAUGGGCGGGGGCCUGAUGCAUGAGCGCCACGUGCGGGAAGACGGCGUUUAGGUGAGAAACCGCUGUCGCCUGUGACGAAGCGUGACUGACGGUAAUGAAUAAGACAGCACCGGCUAGCUACGUG